rnacentral:rRNA from 1 species
CCCUUAGAUGUUCUGGGCCGCACGCGCGCUACACUGACUGGUGCAACAAGUGUCGCUCCUUGGCCGAUAGGCCUGGGCAAUCUUUGAACGCCAGUCGUGAUGGGGAUAGAUUCUUGCAAUUUUUGAUCUUCAACGAGGAAUUCCUAGUAAACACGAGUCAUCAACUCGCAUUGAUUACGUCCCUGCCCUUUGUACACACCGCCCGUCGCACCUACCGAUUGAAUGGUCCGGUGAACCCUCCGGAUCGGCUCGCGCCAACGCAAGUUGAGCAAAGGCCGAGAAGUUGGGUAAACCUUACCAUUUAGAGGAAGGUGAAGUCGUAACA